UACAGAGGGUGCAAGCGUUAAUCGGAAUUACUGGGCGUAAAGGGCGCGUAGGUGGUUGAUUAAGUCAGAUGUGAAAUCCCUGGGCUUAACCUAGGAAUUGCAUUUGAAACUGAUCAGCUAGAGUGUGGUAGAGGGAAGUGGAAUUUCCAGUGUAGCGGUGAAAUGCGUAGAUAUUGGAAGGAACAUCAGUGGCGAAGGCGACUUCCUGGACCACUACUGACACUGAGGCGCGAAAGCGUGGGGAGCGAACAGG
rnacentral:rRNA from 1 species